rnacentral:rRNA from 1 species
UACGUAGGUGGCAAGCGUUGUCCGGAUUUACUGGGCGUAAAGAGCGCGCAGGCGGUCGUUCAAGUCGCGUGUGAAAGCCCCCGGCUCAACUGGGGAGGGUCACGCGAUACUGAUCGACUCGAAGGCAGGAGAGGGUAGUGGAAUUCCUGGUGUAGCGGUGAAAUGCGCAGAUAUCAGGAAGAACACCAAUGGCGAAAGCAGCUCUCUGGGACGGUACUGACGCUGAGACGCGAAAGCGUGGGGAGCGAACAGG